AAUUGAAUAUUAUUUUAUUUAUUUAUUUAUUUAUUAUUAAUAAAUAUUGUAGAAAUGAUGACAAUUACACAGAAGUCAGUUGAGAUGAAUUUAAAUUUCAUUUUACACAUUAAUACCUUAUUUUAGUUGAGAAACACUAACAAUCGUAAAUUAACACACAAAUUCCUAUAAUAUAUCAUUAAAUGCUAUUUAUAGCUACAACAAAUUGGAUUGGAGUCAUCCAACUGCUGGAGGACAGUCUAUUGAAAGUCAGUACAGUGUCAUUAGGAAAGGUGAUCUCAAUAUAAUGGAAUAUGAAGAAGUACCUCCACCAAUACCUCCUCAAUACAAUUAAAUGAAGUGACAUGAUAAUAAUAUGUGCAUUAAUAAUUAUUAAUAAUAAUGACAGAUAAAUGAUAAAUAAAAUAAACAAAGUCUUAUGUACUCUACAGUCAAUAAAAAUCAAGUGAAUGAUGACAGACAAGGUCCUGUGUAUUCCAUAAUUAAUAAAAAUCAAGUACCAGUAAUUGAAUGCAUUCAAAUGUCUGAUGUUUGCUUAAGAGCUUUGGGACAUCAAAAGUUUAUACUAACUGUAGCUCAUAAUGAUGAUGCUAUAAGAAGAUUAAUGUAUUGCAUGCUCUUUAUAAUUCAACUUGGGAAUAAUUUCAUUGCUUUCUCAAGAAAGCAUUCAAAAGCAUUGAUGUACAAAAUAAUGUGUAAAUUAGGAAUGAAAAUUGGAAAAUAGUGAAAGUGUCAUAAUGAAAACAUUAUAAUUACACAAUGUAUAUUGAAAUGGUGUAAGGUUGAAUCAGCUAAUAAGGUCCUGCUUUAUGCUGAUGUAAUGAUAGCCCCUAAGGACAGUAGACCACAGUGUCCACCUACUAGUGUUCAACCAGUAACAUAUGCAGUAAUAUAACAUUAAAUUUCUCUCUGGCUCUGCUCUCACAUCAAUUAACUUCUUUAUAAUAAUGUAUUUUAUUAUUUUUAAUUUAUUGUGUAGUAUGUGUGGGUGUGUGUUUAUUACACUUGCACUGUUGAUAUACUGUAUCACUAUUAUUGUAACAAUCAGUCAGCACUAUACAUUAUCAGUGGUCAUUAACUGCUAAACCAACUAUAUAUUCCAGGAAUUGUGCUUCCAGUUAUUAUGCAAAUUCUAGGAAUACUUAGUGCUUUGAGUUCUUGGAACAAUGUCACUUGACUUAGGACAUGGGCUCACUGCAGGACUGACAGUAUAAGUAUAAGGGAAUUACGAUUGGAAAGAAUGAAA